AUUGAACGCUGGCGGCAGGCCUAACACAUGCAAGUCGAGCGAGCGGCGGACGGGUGAGUAAUGUCUGGGAAACUGCCUGAUGGUGGGGGAUAACUACUGGAAACGGUAGCUAAUACCGCAUACCAUCGGAUGUGCCCAGAUGGGAUUAGCUAGUAGGUGGGGUAAAGGCUCACCUAGGCGACGAUCCCUAGCUGGUCUGAGAGGAUGACCCGCCACCAUGGAACUGAGACACGGUCCAGACGCCUAGGGGAGUCAGCAGUGGGGAAUAUUGCAUAAUGGGAGCAAGCCGGAUGAAGCCAUGCCGCGUGUAGGAAGAAGGCCUUCGGGUUGUAAAGUACUUUCAGCGGGGAGGCGUUACUCGCAGAAGAAGCACCGGCUAACUCCGUGCCAGCAGCCGCGGUAAUUC
rnacentral:rRNA from 1 species